UCCGUAGGUGAACCUGCGGAAGGAUCAUUAGCGAAUCUAGCGCAUCUACUUUGUAGAGCGUGACCUCCACUUUCUAACUCUGUGCACUUAAUGGCGGAAGAAGAUGUGUAAAAGCUCUUCUUCUGCGGCUCAUUUUAUAACACUAGUUAAAGAAUGUAACGAAAUAUCGAAACAAAAAAAAACUUUCAACAACGGAUCUCUUGGCUCUCGCAUCGAUGAAGAACGCAGCGAAAUGUGAUAAGUAAUGUGAAUUGCAGAAUUCAGUGGAUCAUCGAAUCUUUGAACGCACCUUGCGCUCCCUGGUAUUCCGGGGAGCAUGUCUGUUUGAGUGUCAUGAACUCUUCAACCCACCAGUUUCUUGUAAACUGAAUGGUGUUUGGUUUCUGAGCGUUGCUCGUCCUCUGUGACUGAGCUCGUUCGUAAUAUAUGAGCAUCUCUAAUUCGAAUUCGGAUUGACUCAGUGUAAUAGACUAUUCGCUGAGGACACGCUUUUAGUGUGGCCGAAUAAGAUAAUUGUAGAAGCUUCCAACCCUUCUAGUCAUUUUAAGAUUAGACCUCAGAUCAGAUAGGACUACCCGCUGAACUUAAGCAUAUCAAUAAGCGGAGGA
rnacentral:rRNA from 1 species